rnacentral:rRNA from 1 species
GAUGAACGCUGGCGGCGUGCUUAAUACAUGCAAGUCGAACGAAGAGCUUUGUAGCAAUACGAGGCUUCUUAGUGGCGAACGGGUGCGUAACGCGUUGGUGACCUGCCCCGAAGUGUGGAAUAACAGGUCGAAAGGACUGCUAAUACCGCAUGUGUAUCUCCGGGUUAUAGGCUGGAGUUCUAAAGCAGAAAUGCGCUUCGGGAGGGACCUGCGUCCCAUCAGCGAGUUGGUGAGGUAACGGCCCACCAAGGCGACGACGGGUAGGGGACCUGGGAGGGUGGUCCCCGACACUGGCACUGAAACACGGGCCAGACACCUACGGGUGGCAGCAGUUGGGAAUAUUGGGCAAUGGGCGAAAGCCUGACCCAGCAACGCCGCAUGAACGAUGAAGGUCUUCGGAUCGUAAAGUGCUUUUCUGAGAGAUGAGAAAGGACAGUAUCUCAGGAAUAAGUCUCGGCUAACUACGUGCCAGCAGCCGCAGUAAUAC